rnacentral:rRNA from 1 species
GACGAACGCUGGCGGCGUGCUUAACACAUGCAAGUCGAACGGAAAGGCCCUGCUUUUGUGGGGUGCUCGAGUGGCGAACGGGUGAGUAACACGUGAGUAACCUGCCCUUGACUUUGGGAUAACUUCAGGAAACUGGGGCUAAUACCGGAUAGGAGCUCCUGCUGCAUGGUGGGGGUUGGAAAGUUUCGGCGGUUGGGGAUGGACUCGCGGCUUAUCAGCUUGUUGGUGGGGUAGUGGCUUACCAAGGCUUUGACGGGUAGCCGGCCUGAGAGGGUGACCGGCCACGUGGGGACUGAGAGACGGCCCGGACUCGUACGGGAGGCAGCAGUGGGGAAGAUUGCACACUGGGAGGGAGCCUGAUGCAGCAACGCCGCGUGCGGGAUGACGGGCAUCGGGUUGUAAACCGCAUUCGCCUGUGACGAAGCGGGAGUGACGGGAAUGGGUAAAGAAGCACCGGCUAACUACGUG